rnacentral:rRNA from 1 species
CGUAAGCCUGACGGAGCAAUACCGCGUGAGGGAGGAAGGCUCUUGGGUUGUAAACCUCUUUUCUUAGGGAAGACACACGACGGUACCUAAGGAAUCAGCAUCGGCUAACUCCGUGCCAGCAGCCGCGGUAAUACGGAGGAUGCAAGCGUUAUCCGGAAUGAUUGGGCGUAAAGCGUUCGCAGGUGGUUAGUCAAGUCUGUUGUCAAAGCGUCUGGCUCAACCAGAUAGAGGCAGUGGAAACUGACAGACUAGAGAACGGUAGGGGUAGAGGGAAUUCCUGGUGUAGCGGUGAAAUGCGUAGAGAUCAGGAAGAACACCGGUGGCGAAAGCGCUCUACUGGACCUGUUCUGACACUGAGGGACGAAAGCUAGGGGAGCGAAUGGGAUUAGAUACCCCAGUAGUCCUAGCCGUAAACGAUGGAUACUAGGCGUUGCGAGUAUCGACCCUCGCAGUGCCGUAGCCAACGCGUUAAGUAUCCCGCCUGGGGAGUACGCCGGCAACGGUGAAACUCAAAGGAAUUGACGGGGGCCCGCACAAGCGGUGGAGAAUGUGGUUUAAUUCGAUGCAACGCGAAAAACCUUACCAAGGCUUGACAUGUCUGGAAUCCCAGGGAAACUUGGGAGUGCCUACGGGAGCCAGAACACAGGUGGUGCAUGGCUGUCGUCAACUCGUGUCGUGAGAUGUUGGGUUAAGUCCCGCAACGAGCGCAACCCUCGUUCUUAGUUGCCAUCAUUCAGUUGGGAACUCUAAGGAGACUGCCGGUGACAAACCGGAGGAAGGUGGGGAUGACGUCAAGUCAGCAUGCCCCUUACGCCUUGGGCUACACACGUACUACAAUGCUCCGGACAAAGGGUAGCUAGCCAGCGAUGGUCGGCCAAUCCCAGAAACUGGGGCUCAGUUCAGAUCGCAGGCUGCAACUCGCCUGCGUGAAGGUGGAAUCGCUAGUAAUUGCAGGUCAGCAUACUACAGUGAAUUCGUUCCCGGGCCUUGUACACACCGCCCGUCACACCAUGGAAGCUGGUCACGCCCGAAGUCGUUACCCUAACCAUUCGUGGAGGGGGACGCCGAAGGUAGGA